AUUGAACGCUGGCGGCAGGCCUAACACAUGCAAGUCGAACGGUAACAGGAGGAGGCUUGCUUCUUUGCUGUCGAGUGGCGGGCGUGAGUGACAUGUCUGGGACACUGCCUGAUGGCGGGGGAUAACUACUGGAAACGGUAGCAAAUACCGCAUAACGUCUGAAGACCAAAGAGCGGGACCUUCGGGCCUCUUGCCAUCGGAUGAGAGCAGAUGGGAUUAGCUAGUAGGUGGGGUAACGGCUCACCUAGGCGACGAUCCCCAGCUGGUCUUAGAGGAUGACCAGCCACACUGGAACUGAGACACGGUCCAGACUCCUACGGGAGGCAGCAGUGGGGAAUAUUGCACAAUGGGCGCAAGCCUGAUGCAGCCAUGCCGCGUGUAUGAAGAAGGCCUUCGGGUUGUAAAGUACUUUCAGCGGGGAGGAAGGGAGUAAAGUUAAUACCUUUGCUCAUUGACGUUACCCGCAGAAGAAGCACCGGCUAACUCCGUG
rnacentral:rRNA from 1 species